rnacentral:rRNA from 1 species
UACGGGGGGGGCAAGCGUUGUUCGGAAUUACUGGGCGUAAAGGGCUCGUAGGCGGCCAACUAAGUCAGACGUGAAAUCCCUCGGCUUAACCGGGGAACUGCGUCUGAUACUGGAUGGCUUGAGUGUGGGAGAGGGAUGCGGAAUUCCAGGUGUAGCGGUGAAAUGAGUAGAUAUCUGGAGGAACACCGGUGGCGAAGGCGGCAUCCUGGACCAUUACUGACGCUGAGUGAGCGAAAGCCAGGGGAGCAAACGGG